rnacentral:rRNA from 1 species
UGUAAACCACUGUCAGAGGGGAUGAAAUGCCGGUGGGUACUCCCAUCGGUUUGACAUAGCCUCAGAGGAAGGACGGGCUAAGUUCGUGCCAGCAGCCGCGGUAAGACGAACCGUCCAAACGUUAUUCGGAAUUACUGGGCUUAAAGGGUGCGUAGGCGGCGCGGAAAGUUGGGUGUGAAAUCCCUCGGCUUAACCGAGGAACUGCGCUCAAAACUACCGUGCUUGAGGGAGAUAGAGGUGAGCGGAACUUAGGGUGGAGCGGUGAAAUGCGUUGAUAUCCCAAGGAACACCGGUGGCGAAAGCGGCUCACUGGAUCUUUUCUGACGCUGAGGCACGAAAGCUAGGGUAGCGAACGGGAUUAGAUACCCCGGUAGUCCUAGCCGUAAACGAUGAGCACUGGAUUGGAGGCCCCUCCAUAGGCUUCCAGUCGCAGCGAAAGUGUUUAGUGCUCCGCCUGGGGAGUAUGGUCGCAAGGCUGAAACUCAAAGAAAUUGACGGGGGCUCACACAAGCGGUGGAG